GAUGAAGAACGCAGCGAAAUGCGAUACGUAGUGUGAAUUGCAGAAUUCAGUGAAUCAUCGAAUCUUUGAACGCACAUUGCACCUCUCGGUAUUCCGGGAGGUAUGCCUGUUCGAGCGUCAUUUGUACCCUCAAGCUCUGCUUGGUGUUGGGUGUUUGUUCCGCCUCUGUGUGUGAACUCGCCUCAAAACAAUUGGCAGCCGGCGUACUUGUUUCGGAGCGCAGCACAUUUUGCGAUCCAGAUCAACGUACAGCGGCAUCCAAGAAGCCUUAUUUAACGCUCUUGACCUCGGAUCAGGUAGGGAUACCCGCUGAACUUAAGCAUAUCAAUAAGCGGAAGA
rnacentral:misc_RNA from 1 species